UACUUUUUUUUUUUUUUUUUUUUUUUUUUUUUUUUUUUUUUUUUUUUUUUUCAUCUAGCAAGC
rnacentral:ribozyme from 1 species